rnacentral:rRNA from 1 species
GGAUUAGAUACCCUGGUAGUCCUAGCCUUAAACGAUGGAUGCUUGGUGUCCGAGGUGAUGAAGUCCUCGGGUGCCGGAGCUAACGCGAUAAGCAUCCCGCCUGGGGAGUACGGUCGCAAGACUGAAACUCAAAGGAAUUGACGGGGACCCGCACAAGCGGUGGAGCAUGUGGUUUAAUUCGACGCAACGCGAAGAACCUUACCUAGCCUAGAAUGCUCUUGAAUGCUCCAGAGAUGGAGAGUUUCGGGUAGCACCGGACAGAUGCAAGGUGCUGCAUGGCUGUCGUCAGCUCG